AGAGCGCGUCUCGGUCGGUGACGUAGGUUACGUAGAGUCGUUCACUACUCACAUUAGCGAGCCUUAUCAUCGUUAGGAGGAUAAUAUGUGUUACAGGAACAGAUAGUCGUCCUUCUACUGUGCUACCUUUAAACAUAUUGGUGCCGUUAUUUACACAUCAACCGUUCGGACGAAAAAUGACCGAUUUGUCCGAUUUCCUGACCAAAGAGGGCUGGUACCUCAGUGAAGAAGGCAUAGCAGAGCUGAAAGGGUCUGCUGAGAAAAUAACACCCAGUGACAUUAUUCGUAUUGCACUUGAUAGUGAUCUUAGGCCUAUUGGGAGAAAAUUUCUACCGUCUGAUAUCAAUAGUGGAAGAACUGAGAAGUUGGACGGCCCAUGUGUUCUCCAGCUGCAGAAGGUGAGGAACGUCUCAGCUCCUAAAGACCAUGAGGAGUCCCAGGGCGCGCCACGAAUGCUGCGGCUACAAAUGACAGAUGGACAUACCACCUGUGUUGGAUUGGAGUUUAAACACCUGUCUAAGAUCAGUCUUAAUACACCGCCUGGAACAAAGGUAAAGCUGCUUGGUACAGUCCAGGUUAAGAAUGGUCUUUUGCUGCUUGAUGACUCAAAAAUCUCUGUCCUUGGAGGAGAGGUUGAUCACAUGGUGGAGAAAUGGGAACUACAAAGGAGUCUGGCCAAACACAGCAGGAGUAACAUUGGUGCAGAAGGUGGACCUCCUCCCUUUGUGCCAUUUGGUCAGAAGUGUGCAAGGAAAGAUGAAGUAGACAGCAGAGACCUAGACCAGAGGAAGACCCUCCAGACUCACAACGUGGUCAAAAGUCCGGAUGAGAAUGAUGAGUUUGAAAAGCAGCGCAUAGCAGCUAUUGCUGAGGUGGCCAAGACCAAAGAGGGUCCGCGAACGUUCGGUGGUGGAGGGAAUGCAGGCAGUAAUUUAUCCAGUGCUGCUUCCUCUUCCCGGGGCCGAGACUCAUACCAACAAAGGAGACGAGAAGACCGGGUCGAAAGAACUGACAGCAGACAAGAUGGAAACUAUCGAGAGCUGGUGGAUGAGCGUGCUCUACGAGACAUCAUGGAGAUGGGCUUUAACAGAGAGGCUGCUCGGCAGGCUCUAAUGGAUAAUAACAACAACCUUGAAGUGGCUUUAAACUGCCUACUGACUGGAUCUUCUGGUAGCAGACCUGGGCCGGUGGUAGCUGAAUGUAACAAGCCCCCACCCAGAGCCAGGGGAAGAGGAAGAGGCAGGUCCAGAAAUGAAGAUGAGGAGGAGGGAGCAGGGGGAAGGCCAUCUGGACCAAGCACUCUGUUUGACUUUCUGGAAUCCAAGAUGGGAGUUUUUUCCAUUGAUGAGUCUAAGAACCAGGCACCACAGAGACAUCAUGAGAGUAAAGGGAAUUUCUCCAACUCCGACUAUUACUCCAAAGACACAUCUCAGACAAAGUUCUCCUCGCAUAAUGAGCAUAGGCAACAAAGGAAUGACAGACCACCUCGGUUUCACAGGGACACUGAUUUUCCCAAACCCGGCCAGGAGCCUCUCUCUAACUGUACCACCCCCCAAACAUCAGCUCAAGCCCAGCAGUGGAAGGGACAGGAGAGAUGGUCACGAGGCACAUCAGACAGACUGCAAAAUGACAGGAGAGAGAUGCGGGAUGAGCAGAUUUUUCCUUCAUCCUUCACGACUACUUUUACACGUUCGAAAGAACCUCAGCAGCAGAUGGAGUUUGGUGGAUCCUACCACCAACGAUCCAGAAAUGGCGAUGGUGGUGGGAACAUGACUGGACCAUCUCACAGGAGAGGGGGGAAAGACACUGCGCCCACAUCCAAACAGACCAAUUUCGCAGGCAGUGAGGUAGAUGGAAGAGGAAGUAAUAAACGCACAGACAGAACUGAAGAGCCUAACAACAGCAGGAGGAUGGGAAAGGCUGACCGGCCACACUCCGACCACCUUGACCGACAAAGGGAUAGCGGGCCACCAAACUUUAACUUGAGGGGAGGAAGCUCGGGGCCGUCCCAAGAAGCAGGGUUAUCACGGGAUUGCCAAAUCAUGACAGGCGAUCCUUCUCAUUUCCAAAAUGGGGAUAUGGAACACAAAAGAACUGGGCCAAUCAAGCCACCAACUUCCUCAUUUCCUCCCAAGGAGUUGCCCCCCAAGAAAAAUGCUCCUAAUAACCCAGGAUCUAAAAGAAGGUCAGGACAAGGCAAAGGUCAAGGUCAAGGUCAAGGUCCUCGUGGGUCAGAGAAAAGUCACAUUGUGGAGCGCCCUUGGAAACCUGGAGACCAGUGCCUGGCACUGUACUGGGAGGACAGCAAGUUCUACCAUGCCAGAAUAGAUGCUGUGCAUCCAUCAGGCUCCACGGCUGUGGUUGUAUUUAGUGAUUAUGGAAACUGCGAAGAGGUCCUGCUGCAUAACAUCAAACCUGUUCCUGCUGAUGUGUUGUAACAUCACAACCAUGUCAAAUGUACAAUGGCAGGAGGAAGAUGAUGGUUACUACGACAGUUCACUAGAGUUUCGCCGUGGGGGAGAUGGACAGCCUAGACGCACAAGACCAACACAGCAGUAUUACCAGCCACCCAGGGCGCGAGAUUGAUGUGUCUGUGUUUACAGCGUGCUUGUCCCUCAUCCUUCCAUGACAAAGAUUAUGUGACUUUCUGCAACAAUCCACAGUGCUUCCUGAACUUUUAAGUGUCCACAUCAUCAGGACAUACAGAACUUUUCAAAGGGCUUGGACACCAUGCAAAAAUAAAAAUAAAAAAACUGACAUGAGCACCUGUUGAUUUUGUUAAGGACAUAUCUACUGUAUAUGUUGUGAAGAUUUGUUUAAUGGAUGCAUUAAAAUAAACAGUUAUUAUAGUA